AGAAAUUGAUGGAAAUUUUGUAAUUUAUAAGAAGUUAAAAGCUUUUUUGUUAUGUUGUAAAUGAGCUUUGGGUGUGUUUCUAAAGUCCAUUUUAUAUAGGAUAUUUUUAUAAUUUGGGCCCCCAUAUUGGGUAUAAUAGUGAAUCUCCCUAUAUAUAACUCUUCACAAGACCAUAAACUCCUUAUAUGAAAUGAAACUAGCUAUAAAAUUUACGUCUUAAAAAAAUUAAAAAAAAUUGAACAAUUGUAUCUUUAAAUAAAAUGAAGAAAAAUAGGGAAAAAAAAGAAAGGAACAAGAACAGGCUGAGCGGCUGAAGUGUACAAAAAUUAAAAUAAAUAUGUGGAUGGAGCAAUUCAUCAUUCAAGUGGUAGUCAGGCACAAAUAACAAAUACAAACAGAAUGGGGAAAAGAAAGAAAGAGAAAACUGGUGCUUUGUGGCCACUUUAAUUUGAAGAAAACCGCGUUAAACCAGCUUUCAGGUAUUAUCUCCAACGGUCGGGAAAUCUUUGGGUGGUUAAUUGAUUGGGGCCAAAGCAACUACAAUCCUAAUCUGAUAUGGAAAUACAAACAGACACAGCUACAAAGUAAAGUGAGAGAGUGCACUUGAGCGUUGGGUUUAAAAACCGCCUUAUAGUGAAUCUUCCCAACUAUUAUUUCUCUCUGAUCACAAUUUGCAAACUUGUUCGCUUUCUCUUUCUCUCUGUCUCUGUCGAGUUGAAACCCUAACCCCAUUGUCUCAUUCUGAUCCUUUUUGAAUUUAUCCCUUUCUUUUCUGAGUUGGGUUUAUUUCUGUGUUCUUAAUCUU
rnacentral:lncRNA from 1 species